GAAUAACCGGAGCUCUCUGCAACGCUGAAAGAAACUGGCCAGCAACCUAGCUUAAAGGAUCCUCACAUCUGCGGCGAUGACUCUGUGCACAGACCAAGGAAGGAGAAGCCGCCGGAGCCAGUAAAGUACUCCCUUGGUGGUCAAAUUCCGGAGGGCUAAAUGUGUGUGUGCAUGAAUGAUCACAAAUAACCCUACCUGCGGUGUUGUUCAUGUGGAUGGUGACAAGACCUACUGCUGGACAGAGUGCUGCCUUUGGACUUUCCAGUGCCUCAGCAUCAGCCUGGGGAUCACGUUCUCAUCAAAGAGGGGAAAGAAGGGAAACUCGAGCCAGCCCGGGAAGGACCCUACCUUGUGCUGCUAACCACUGAGACUGCUGUUCGUAAGGUUGGAAAGAGAUGGACACAUCACACAUGAGUCAAGCAAGCACCAUUAUCCUCAGAAUCAUGGGCCAUUGUUCCUGGAUCAAGCCCUACCAAAUUAAAGCUAAGGAAAGCUUAGUCUAUCUAUCUUUUCCUUUCCCUUCCUUACCCAGUGCUUAUAUCCAUUACUAUUCCUACCACUAGCAACUCUAACCCCACUUUAGAACGCUUCUGUGGUUUAGGAGCAGAGGUCACUGGAAAGGAUCCUAUGGGCUUCUUUAAGGUGGGCUUUGUUCUCCCUCCUCCACCUCCUAUGGCUGCCCCUUUCCCAAACCUACAAAAUCAAACUAUGACUCACCUCAUGCCAAAUGACAAAAGCAAGGUCCCGGUAGUAGAAAUAGGAGACCUAAGGCAAACCAUAGCCAUUAAAACAGGGUAUAAAAAUGUAAAUGCCUGGUUAAAAUUGAUUAAAUAUUCUGUCCACACGUUAAACAAAGGCAAUUUUUAUGCUUGUGCACAUGACAGGCCAGAAGCCCAGAUUGUCCCCUUUCCACUAGGGUGGCCCUCUAGUUGACUGGGCAUGGCCUGCAUGGCAGAUCUUUCCCAGGAUUAUUCAGCCUGGGGUAACAAGUCGUGCCAAGCUCUCUCUCUGCUACAUCCCGAAGUUCAACACCCUGCGGGUCAGCCCCCAAGGGCCAUCCAGCUUCCAUCUCCCAACACUAAGUUCACUUCGUGUCUCUCAGGACCGGGAGGAAACUUAGCGUUCCUUGGAGUCCUGAAGGGAUGCAGUGAGAUUAAGAAAUUUCAAGAGCUUACCAAUUAGCCCUUACUCAUCCCUGAGCAGAUGUGUAGUGGUAUUAUGAUGGACCUUUACUGGACACUCUGCCGAGUAACUGAAGUGGCACUUGCUUUAGUCCAGUUGGCUAUCCCUUUCACGCUGGCAUUUCAUCAACCAGAGAAAGGAAAAAUAAGAUAUCAUAAAGCAAAAGAAGCCCCUUAUGGGUCUUUUGACUCUCACAUCUAUUUAGACAUAAUUACAGUCCCACAGGGAAUACCAGAUCAAUUUAAAGCCUGAAAUCAAAUAGCUGCAGGAUUUGAGUCAAUAUUUUGGUGGGUGACAAUAAAAUGUAAAUUGGAUAAACUACAUCUAUUACAACCAACAGCCAUCCAUUAACUACACUAGAGAUGCUGUUAAAGGAAUAGCUGAGCAAUUAGGGGCUACUAGCCAGAUGGCUUGGGAAAAAUAGGAUAGCCUUAGACAUGAUAUUAGCAGAAAAAGGAAGAAUUUGCAUCAUAAUUAAAAAUCAAUGUUGUAACUUCAUCCCAAACAACACCGCCCCUAAUGGAAGUAUAACAAAGGCAUUGCAAGGUCUGACUGCUCUAUCCUGAGUUAGCCAAUAACUCGGGGGUAAAUGACCCCUUUACAGGAUGGCUGGAAAAGUGGUUCAGUAAAUGGAAAAGAAUAGUAGCCCCAAUUCUUACUUCCAUCGCAGCCAUCAUAGGUGUGCUUAUUCUUGUCGGGUGUUGUGUCACACUAAGGAAGGAGACCGCUACAACUCCUGCUGCCCUCCUCCCACCACCUUGCCUAGUUCACAAGACAGGAGGAAAGAGAGAAAGCAAAAAGCUGGAAAGAAGCAAAAGUAAGAUAAAUAGCCAGACAACCUUGGCACCACCACCUGGCCCUAGGAGUUAAAAAGGUAAUAAUAAUAACAUCAACCCCAGACCUAAACUACUUGUGUUAUCUGUAAAUUCCAGACAUUGUAUGAAAAAGCAUUGCAAAACUUUCUGUUCUGUUAGCUGAUGCAUGUAGCCUCCAGUCACGUUCCCCACGCUUGCUGGAUUUAUCACGACCUUUUCAUGUGGACCCCUUUAGAGUUGUAAGCCUUUAAAAAGGCCAAGAAUUCAGUUUGCAGGGAGCUCAGCUCUUAAGAUGCAAGUCUGCCGAUGCUCUCAGCCAAGUAAACCUCUUCCUUCUUU
ensembl:lncRNA novel transcript